rnacentral:lncRNA from 10 species
AAACAGGACCUGGAACAUCCAGGGAGCGUCUGGGCUGCAGGUUUAAAAAAUAUCCUGGACUUUGGAAAAUAUUCUUAUAUAAAGAAGCAAAAAGAGGAUGGAAUAGACUUGUGCUAACACUGAAACUCCAGUCAAGUUGUAAACUGAAAAAGAACGUGUUGAAACAAGGAAUUGCCCCAUAGCCUUCACAGGAUCUCACUCUGUUGCAGUGUCACUGGAGUGCAGUGGUGCAGUCUUGGCUUCCUGCACCAUCUGCCUUCCAGAAUCAAGCAAUUAUCCAGCUUCAGCCUCCCGAGUAGCUGGGACCACAGACGUGCCACCAUGCCUGGCUUAUUUUUUUAUUUUUUGUAGAGAUGGGGUUUCACCAUUGUUGCCCAGGCUGGGCUCAACUCCUGAGCUCAAAGUGAUCCAUCUGCCUCAGCCUCCCAAAGUGCUGGAAUUACAGGCUCAGUCUAUACUAGUAUAUUUACAACUAUAUUUUAUUACAAUAUUUAUUAAAUAUUGUUGUCUUUUGCUAGGAAACUUAAAAACCUUAAAGAACAUCAUUUGUGAGCUCCCAAUUGGCACAAAUUACAUAAGGUACUCUACACAUAUUUUUAUUUUCUUAACUUUUUGUUAUAACAAGUGAAAAAUCUAAAAAUCAACUGAAUAAGCUUUUAUGUUGAAAAGUAUACUUAAAUGAUUCUGGUGAUCAUGGUGUUCUAGUAAGAAAAAUGCUUUGCUAGUGAUGUGACAGCGUACGGCAUAUGAAUAAUAUUUGAAAUCUUGCUACUCUUUUCUUAUAUUCUGCCCCAAACCCAAAGGAAGUUUAAAAUGAGAAAAAAGGUAAAGGUAUGAAAGAACCUUUGGUGACUCAGGUGGCUUCAGACUUACCAGUCACAAAAACUUGCAAGCAGGUUCUAGGAGACUUCACU